ACUCCUACGGGAGGCAGCAGUGGGGAAUAUUGCACAAUGGGCGCAAGCCUGAUGCAGCAACGCCGUGUGAGUGAAGAAGGUUUUCGGAUCGUAAAACUCUGUCCUAAGGGAGAAACAAAUGACGGUACCUUAGGAGGAAGCCCCGGCUAACUACGUGCCAGCAGCCGCGGUAAUACGUAGGGGGCAAGCGUUAUCCGGAAUCACUGGGCGUAAAGGGUGCGUAGGCGGCUUAGCAAGCCAGGGGUGAAAGGCAUUGGCUCAACCAAUGUAAGCCUUUGGAACUGUUAGGCUUGAGUGCAGGAGAGGUAAGUGGAAUUCCUAGUGUAGAGGUGAAAUUCGUAGAUAUUAGGAGGAACACCAGUGGCGAAGGCGACUUACUGGACUGUAACUGACGCUGAUGCACGAAAGCGUGGGUAGCGAACAGGAUUAGACACCCUGGUAGCACAGAG
rnacentral:rRNA from 1 species